UACGAAGGGGGCUAGCGUUGUUCGGAUUUACUGGGCGUAAAGCGCACGUAGGCGGAUCGUUAAGUCGGGGGUGAAAUCCUGGAGCUCAACUCCAGAACUGCCUUCGAUACUGGCGAUCUCGAGUCCGGAAGAGGUGAGUGGAACUCCUAGUGUAGAGGUGGAAUUCGUAGAUAUUAGGAAGAACACCAGUGGCGAAGGCGGCUCACUGGUCCGGUACUGACGCUGAGGCGCGAAAGCGUGGGGAGCAAACAGG
rnacentral:rRNA from 1 species